UGCUAGUAACUUUAGGUUACCGGAACACUUACGAGAUGGCGGUGUUGUUUCGGUAUUCGAAUAGCGCUAUCGAUUUAUCGAUGUUUAUUUUCUGCUUGGGUGCUUUGUGUCAUUUGGUUUAAUUUUUGUAUCGGUUUAUAAAUUAAUUUUGUAUUGUGUUUCGCUGUUAUUUGUUGUUAGCAUUUUAGUUUAAGUGCUAACCUUCACGGUCACGUGACCGGCGCCCCGCCUACCCGCCACGUCGGCUUCCGGGUCGGCGGAGGGGCGGUCGUAGAAGGAGGGAUUCGAGGCAUUCUUGGUCUAUCGGUGACGGCGGCGGGAGCCAUGCCGAUUUGGGUUUUUUGGUCACCAUGGUUGCUCUAGCCGUACGACUUUGAGGGCUUUGAGGGCGCACCGUGUAGAAACCGCUUGCUUCACUAUGUUUUGCAAUAUAAAUUCAUCUGUGG